UAUCAAUUGGAGGGCAAGUCUGGUGCCAGCAGCCGCGGUAAUUCCAGCUCCAAAAGCGUAUAUUAAAGUUGUUGCAGUUAAAAAGCUCGUAGUUGAAAUUGGGGAAACUAUUUAGUAAGAAGUCUAUGAUGGAUUAUUAAAUGUUCCUUCGUCGUCGUGUAUAUUGUCAAGUCACUUAAUUGGGAUUUUUCAAUAACCGACAAGUUUACUUUGAAAAAAUUAGAGUGCUUAAAGCAGGCUUAUGCUUGUAUAUUGUUGCAUGGAAUAAUGAAAUAAGACUUUGGUUUUAUUUUGUUGGUUUUCGAAACUAAAGUAAUGAUUAAAAGAGACUGCCGGGGGCAUAUGUAUGCUGGUGCUAGAGGUGAAAUUCUGAGAC
rnacentral:rRNA from 1 species